UGGGGAAUAUUGGGCAAUGGGCGCAAGCCUGACCCAGCCAUGCCGCGUGAGUGAUGAAGGCCUUCGGGUCGUAAAGCUCUGUGGGGAGGGAAGAAAAACCUUAUGGCUAACAUCCAUGAGGCUUGACGGUACCUCCUUAGCAAGCACCGGCUAACUCCGUGCCAGCAGCCGCGGUAAUACGGAGGGUGCAAACGUUGCUCGGAAUCAUUGGGCGUAAAGCGCACGUAGGUGGCCUGUUAAGUCGGGUGUGAAAUCCCUGGGCUCAACCCAGGAAGUGCACUCGAAACUGGCAGGCUUGAGUACUGAAGAGGGUCGCGGAAUUCCCGGUGUAGAGGUGAAAUUCGUAGAUAUCGGGAGGAACACCAGUGGCGAAGGCGGCGACCUGGGCAGAUACUGACACUGAGGUGCGAAAGCGUGGGGAGCAAACAGGAUUAGAUACCCCCGUAGUCC
rnacentral:rRNA from 1 species